ACGGAAGGCAGCAGUGGGGAAUAUUGCACAAUGGGGGAAACCCUGAUGCAGCGACGCCGCGUGAAGGAUGAAGUAUUUCGGUAUGUAAACUUCUAUCAGCAGGGAAGAAAAUGACGGUACCUGACUAAGAAGCCCCGGCUAACUACGUGCCAGCAGCCGCGGUAAUACGUAGGGGGCAAGCGUUAUCCGGAUUUACUGGGUGUAAAGGGAGCGUAGACGGUAUGGCAAGUCUGAAGUGAAAACCCAGGGCUCAACCUUGGGACUGCUUUGGAAACUGUUAAACUAGAGUGUCGGAGAGGCAAGUGGAAUUCCUAGUGUAGCGGUGAAAUGCGUAGAUAUUAGGAGGAACACCAGUGGCGAAGGCGGCUUACUGGACUGUAACUGACGUUGAGGCUCGAAAGCGUGGGGAGCAAACAGGAUUAGAUACCCUGGUA
rnacentral:rRNA from 1 species